GACGAACGCUGGCGGCGUGCUUAACACAUGCAAGUCGAACGGAAAGGCCCUGCUUUUGUGGUGUGCUCGAGUGGCGAACGGGUGAGUAACACGUGAGUAACCUGCCCUUGACUUUGGGAUAACUUCAGGAAACUGGGGCUAAUACCGUAUAGCAGCUCCUGCUGCAUGGUGGGGGUUGGAAAUUUUCGGCGGUUGGGGAUGGACUCGCGGCUUAUCAGCUUGUUGGUGGGGUAGUGGAUUACCAAGCCUUUGACGGGUAGCCGGCCUGAGAGGGUGACCGGCCACAUUGGGACUGAGAUACGGCCCAGACUGCUACGGGAGGCAGUAGGGGGGAAUAUUGCACAAUGGGCGGAAGCCUGAUGAAGCAACGCCGCGGGCGGGAAGACGGCCUUCGGGGUGUAAAACGCUUUCGCCUGUGACGAAGCGUGAGUGACGGUAAUGGGUAAAGAAGCACCGGCUAACUACGUG
rnacentral:rRNA from 1 species